AACUCUGAGUUUAACCAUAUUUUCAACCUCUCAUCUACUUCAGUCUAACAAACAAAUCUCGUACAGAUGUAAUAGACUAUCAACCAAAUGGCUGCCAAAUGAUAGUAAAUAAUUGUACAAGAAUAAAUCAGAAAAUAAAUUCCAACUCUCCUAAAAAAUGUCAAUUAAUUGGUAGUCAGUACGGUUUGACAUGUGGAACCUGUUAAAACAGAAACAUUUCAUUAACACCAAUGCAAUUAUAUGACAGAAUUAAAGUUUAACCGAGAAUGAUAAAGAAUGACCAUGCAAGUGUUCCACAUCACCUAGUUUCUGACUAUUUCUGAAAAUCCAUGGCACUUCAACCAUUGUACUAUAUGGUCCACUAAACUCUUUUAAGUCCUUCCACAUGGAAAGGGUUAUCUAGCCGUACAUCAAAAGAUGAAUUAUUUCUAAACCCUGGACUGUGACAUGGAUGACUUGGGAGAAGAAAAGCCAUUUUGGAUCAAAGGUGGGUCUGCAAGCUUGCAAUAUAUAGUAGACAUGCACUUGACCAUAUCCUCAAAAAGCUUGUUUGGCGCCUCUGGAACAUGAUCAGAAAUGCGAGUGCCAAGAAGCUCAACCAGAUUGAUUAUAUUCGAUGCAUUCUAAGCAUGCUGUGGACAACCAGGAAAAGGUUACAUUCCACAAAAGAUCCUCAAAUUGCCAUACCUAUGAUAGGAAGAAACAAUUCUCCCAUAAAUUUAAUUUGUUCGCUUGUGGAUGCAAUCAAAAUGGGAUGAUAAUGAUUGAAUUACGUUACCUUCAAGCAUGGAGACCUUGGUGAUCAUUUAUCCCAAAAACCAACUGAAGGUAAACUACCUAAGCUAUUGCUCAUCAGUUUUCCAAAAAAAAAUGAAUGAUGUAAUGCUUUACUAUCAUGUAAAAUGACCAGUAAUUAACCAAAAAUGUAAAAUACAAAGAAAUAUAAAUUUUAUCAGAAGAUUAUAUGCUAAAGUUAAGUUACCUUCAUCAUGGACAAAGGAUGUGAAUGGCAGGUGUGUACAGCUUUAGCCAAAGUCUCAUCCAGAGAAGUCCUACUUGAAAACAUUGAACACUGUGAUAGUGAGGAAUGAUAACGAUGAACACCAGAAUCUAAUAUAUGAACACUAAACACUGAACACUGUGAUGAUGAGGAGAAGUCAAUUCUCAUCCAAAGGAGAAUUGACUCAGGAUGAGAAUUGACUCCUUCGGAUGCAUUCCAAAUGUUUAUUUCAAUCUUUAGUUAGGCCUUUCACCGUUUCAAGGAUAUACUUCAAUAUAUAGAUUUCAAUAAUUCAACUAUUAAAAUUUAAUUAAAAAACCAACAGACCCGAACCUUCAAAAUCUCAGCGAGAAAUUAUAAACAAAUCAAAAUACUAAAUCAAAAAAGAUGAAUCAUAAUCCAAAUUGAGGAUAAUAACAUACAGAUCUUUCAAAAGUAAACAAAUAAAUUCCGAGAUUCGAAAGAGUGGGACCUUCCAAGAACGGCCUUUAAUGAUGAUGUGGCCACCACUAGAGAAUUGCAUGAAGAUAUCUGAAAACACCCCACUGCGACAAAUCUCCCGUCCUCCAUUUCUCUCCCCCUCUCUCAAUAAAAACCCCCACAUUUUCCCAAAAAUCAGGGUCACCAAAUUGGAUUAAGCAAGCAUGCAUAUACCUGAGGGUCGUGAACUUGGUCGAUGAUGUAGGGAGAGGUGAGGUGGAAGACGCCAGCACAACCGUUGAUAGCGACGGCGAUUGAAUCAUAAUGGAGGAGAUCGAUCUGGAAGAGAUGAAAAAAGUACCAAACCAACAUGAACAAAUCCUUAUAUCAAAACAGCACCAAACCUUUAACAAUUCCUGAGAAAAAACAAAAUACUCAUUAAAUUAAAUCAACACUCCUCCCUAUAGCAUGCAAAAAAAAAAAAAAAAAAACUCACCCAAAUAAUUUUCUACCAAAUAUAUAAACACAAUAAAAAAUAAAAAACAACAAAUCUUUGAGAAAGAUUACCGAAAACCAAAAACCCAAAAAUUUAGUCACCCAUCAAAAUAGAUAUGCAUUCAUUAAAAAAAAAAAACUAAAAUUUCUCAACAAAUAGAAAACACAAAACCCCCACAGAGCAGAAAAAAAUUUAACAAAAUAAAACCUACGUCUUCAAACCCAAAAACAAAGAAAUACAAUGAACAACAAAAAAGAACGCAGACAAAGCAAAAAGUGAGAAACAGCAGCUAUGUAAAGGGCGCAAAGGAAGCUUCUUCCGAAUCAAAAAAAAAAAAAACCGGAAAGAAACGAAAAAACCGUGAAAAACUAAACACGUGGUAACCACGAAUCCUUCCAAAUACAUUUUAUAUAUAGUAGUCUAAAUAUAAGAAUUAGACCAUUUUCUAUCAAUUAAUGCUUUUAGGAUAAUCAAUCACCUAAUGGAUAUUAAACUUGUGAAAUAUUUUCUUUGUUUUUAAAUUGAAAAAAAUGUUGGUUUACUAUUUUAAUAUUGGCUUAAAUUUAAGACAAAAAUUUAUGAUAAACUUGUAAUAUAUUUUUUAUUUAAUUGAU
rnacentral:lncRNA from 1 species